CUCUCUUCUACGCAGCGUCUGAAGUUUGCAUAUUAUUUAUUAUUUCUCUCUCCAGAAACAACUCGCGUGCAUUUUUGUUUAUGAUAAGACUAUAAAGGAGCGUGUGACGCGCCAUUCUAAUGCUGGUGAAUGAUCUCAGCUUCAGAGUGGAUAUUUGACAAGCUCCCUGAUCUCUGCUUUAAUCCAGUUUUCAGACAUUUCUCAUCGUGAUUGUUUAUAUGCAUUUAAAACCCGCAUUUUUAGGAGCUGAACGAUAUAUCUUGUUGGGAUGACAUGCGGGUAUUUUCAUUUUUUAUAGUUUAAAUGAGCACGUGACGCAAUAUUCUUUUUAUGCUGCUGAAUGAUCUGUUCAACGCAAGUAGCGUCUGCCUGCACAAGCGGAGGCUGCAGUUUCGGGACCGCAGUCAUAGGACCGCAGUUAUAGGACCCUAGGUUUUUAGUGACAACGCCACCUAGCGAACUAGAGGACCAACAAAGAUGGAUGACAAGCAGAGUUGAAGUGGAGGAAUUUAAUCGAAUCAUAGACAAACAAUUGAAAAAAAGAGGGGAGAGCAUCCAGUUGCUGCUGCAUACAUCACAAUGAGUCAGUGAAGACGUUGUCCAUGCAGUUCUUAUGUUGUUCACAUCAUUAACAAAUUUGGGUAACACUUUACAAUAAGGUUAAUUAGUUAACAUUAGUUAACUACAUUAAUUGCAUGGACUAAUAAAUAAUAAACUGCACUUAU